UGCCUCUCAUGAUGAACUCUUAGUGCCAUCGUGUCUGGGCCACUGAUGCACCGUGAUGGAACUGAGGAUCUGAGUUG
rnacentral:snoRNA from 1 species